UUACAGGUGUGAGCCACCAUGCCUGGCCUAAGAUUUUUGUUUUAAGUAGAGUUUUAGAAUGAUAUUUUAGUUCUCAGAAUUUAUUUUUCCUACCUCAGCUACACUCUAGUUUCUUUGUAAAAAUAUAUAAAUGUUCUUUAUUUGACAUAUAUAAAUUAAUGGUAACAACUAUCAUUUACUCAUCCACUGUAUAUGCUUAUAGUACCUUUGAAAUAAGUAGUAUUAUGAUCCCCAUUUUAUGUGAUAAUAAUUGCUAACUUUAAUAACGAUUUAACAUUUGCAUAGUGCUAUUCUAUCAGGUUUCAUCACAAUUUAAUCCUUCCAGAAGCUCUAAGAGAAAUGAAUUAUUACAAAGCUUAUUUUUCAAAUGAGAGAACUGAGGCAUAGAGAGGGUCAGAAAAUUUCUUAUGGUCACACUAGAAGUUAGUAAUGAAGCUGAUAUGAACCCAGGCAACCUGACCCUGAAGUCUUGUGUUUCUCUCUCCCAUUUACUGACUCAUACGUGCACUAUGAGUCAAUUCACUACAUGGAGGAGGACAUAGGAGCUUGGCCAGGCCCCUCUGCUAUGAAAUUGGCAGCAGAGAUUCAAAUCCAGGUAUGUGUGAUUCUAAAUCACACAUAAUCUACUCCCCUUGUUCCUUUCCCUCAAAAUGAUUGCCCCUUCUAUUCUAUUUCAUUGACACUGUACAGUGAGAAGGUGUUUGUUAAACACCUACAGUACAGUGAGGCUUAGAGAGGAAAAUCAGAGAAAUAGUUCUGCCCUGAAAGCUCUCACAAUCUGGUGGGAGAGACAAACACAUAGGUAAUUUUAUUAGAGUGUUGUAAAUGUUAUGGUAAAGGAAGACUUUUUGGAAGAGAUGGCACUUCAGUUAUGUGUAAAUGGAUAAGCAGAUGGUUUAAGAGAUACGGGGGUAAUUCAGACAAAAAAGAAUUGUGUGAGCAAUGGCUCAGAGGUUAGAAAUAGAAUGGUGUAUGGGUGAAGUGGAGCUGCAAACACACGUGUUAAAUGUGAAUGGAAAUGGUGUAGGGAGAUGAUUUUAAUGAGAUUAGCAAGAGUAAGAUUAUGAGGAACCUUGAAUGCCAUGCUAAGGACUCAAAGACAUAUAUCAUGUCACCUCUGUUGUAACCUUCCUUCCCAAUUCCUAUUCUUGGCAUCUCAGAACUUCCAGAGGCUUGAUAGAACAGAAUAUAAGAGAAUUAUAUUUUUGGUUCCUAGGGGGUAGGGUGAGGAAGGCAUCCAGAAGGAGUGAGCCAGCAGACAGGAGAGGGUACAGGUAGGGACUACAUAAUGGAAGGGUUUAUAUCAGUGUGUCAGAGAAAGAAGAUUCAAGAAAGAGAUUGGUGAUUUACUGAAAUCCUCAUUGCUGGCUUCAUCCUUAUUCUGAAGAUCCUACGAUGCCUGGAGAAAUUCUAGGCCUCACAUCUGGAGUGGCUGUGGGGCUGUGAUCUCUCCUAGAACCUCAGAGGCAUGAAGCUAGAAUAUCUUCCCCUUCAAGGAGAAUAAGCCAAGAACACAAGAAGAUCAGAGGCUGUAAGGAGCUGCUAUAAGGCCUUCUCCCAGUCACUUCCCUCUCUCUCCUGAGAGGCUGUCUUGAAUGAAUUUCUCAUCACUUACCAGAUUCUGAUGAGGGUAUAUGAGACAAGGACCUGGGGAGUUGGCCUCUUUGGUUCAUUCUUUGUACUGUUUAUCUAUGGUUGUUGCGGCCUUUGUUGAUGACAUUCAGCAUUGACUUCUUGGGUAAGGUAUUCAGUAGUUAAGAUUCAAUGACUCCAGUGAAAGGUAUGUUUCCAUCGUGAUGUUCUUCUUCUGGACAAUAAGUGAAAAGAGCAUGUGAGUACCUCUCUCACUCCCAGCAAAUAAUUGUUGUGUCACCUCCACAUGUUUCUUCACGAUUCGAGGCUUUGAUUUCCCCUGCAAGACAAAAUGCAAUGAAGUGAUACAGAAAAAAAGAAAUUCUAUGCUGUCAUCACACUAGACCAUGAUGUUGAUUUAUGGAUGGUCUGCUUUCUUAUAUGCACUUAAUAUUUUUGUACAAGCAAACCUGAAAAGUGUCAAAAUCCCCUUUAACAGAUUAACAGGCUGAGAUGGGUUAAAGUGAGCAAGCCGGGAAGUGGUGGAGCUGGGAUCCACACCCUGGUCUGUCUGAGUCCAGAUGUAAUCAUCUUGCAUUCACUAUGGCAUGUUUCCCUUAUGUUAAGGGUUGCUGACAUAGACAGUGCAUGUCAUUCCUUUUGGUAUGGUCUUCCUCCUUUCUAGCUUUUUUCUGCCUGGAAGAUCCAGGCACCCAAGAGAAUGGAGCUUCCAUGUAAAUUUGCAGAAUCCCUAGGAUGAAAGCGGAGAGGAUCUACCCUGAAACCAACAAGUCUAGGAUGCACAUCUCUGCCUUUUUUUCAGAAUUAGGAAGGGGCAGGCAGAUGGGCAAUUGACAGGAAUAGUAGAAGCAUCCUCGGGGAAGUUGGCUACUUUACUUAGUGAGAAAGCAAUGGAAAGUGACAUUUGUAACUGAGUUUUAAGUGAAGUACAGUCCUAAGAGAGGAGCUCUGAAAAACAGCUGUUACCUGAGAUUGGGAAUGUUAAAGACCUUCUCAGAGCCUGACUGUACUCACAGCUGGACCUAGCUAUCAGAAGAGGGACUGCAACAUACCUGAGAAACUUUCAGAAUACUUAACGGAAGCAGAGUCAGGGGAAGUGAUUUUGAUAGUAGUCCAUGAGAAAAAAAUACGGUGUUUUAAAAUGCAAAUGAACUAAAAUUUAAAUCCUGCUCUCUCAGUAGCUAUGCAGCCUUAGGCGAGUUAAUAUCUUUGACCUUAGUAUUUCUCAGGUGUAAAGAGGGAUAAUUACCUACUCAGAACUUCACCUCUCCCAAGAAAGCUUUCCUGACCAUGUGCUGGCCCUUCCUUUACAUUGGGAUUAAAGUACCCCCCCCCGUUUUUCCAGGCUUUCUUGACUUUAAUUCUGUCAUAGCUCUAAUUAAGAACCUCUGUAAUGAUCUGUCUGCAAGCUUGUGAGAAAUUUGAGGACUGGGAACCAGCCUGAAACAUGUCUGUUCCCCUCUGAGUCAACACAGUGCCUGGGAUCUGGUGUCCAGUAGGGAUUUAAAGCAUAUUGAUUGAAUGAGAAAUGAUGACAGGAUCUACAUGGAUCACAAAGGAUAGUUGUUAUUUUACCUGUUAACUAUUUAAUAGCGAAAUUAAAUGAAAUAUGAAUUAACCUAGGACCAGGGAAGGUGGGGUAAGUUGUGUCUUUCACAUCAACCUUCAUAUGUUCCCCAAUUUUUUCUUCCUUCAUGUACCUAGGACACUCUUGUUCAAACACAAAGGUGGUUUUAUUUUGGGUCUAUACUAGCUAGUUCCCUAGAAAGGUCUUAAAUACAAAAUGAAUGGAAUACAAAAUAACCUCCCUCAUUGUUUUUUUUCCCGGACAAAUGACAGGAUGCAUACAGAACUGCUACUUUUGUGAUGUUGCAAGUAAUGGUAUAGAUGUGCACAAAUCAUGGAUGUGGUCCCAGUGAUCCAUGGAAAUGUGAAGUCCAGGUGAGCACCGCCUCUCUCAUAAAGAUGCAGCACACCUUGAUUUCUCCCACUUCUUUGCUCAGUACCUGAUCCUGCCUCACUGCUGUCACCCUCCUUUUCCCUUUUCUCUACACUGCGGAGACUUCUAAUUCAGACACCAAACCCUUUCUAGUGUCCCUGUGUUUAUGUAUCAGAGUAAAAUGUUAAAUGCUUCCAAAACAUACGAGGCCCUACAACAUCUGGCCAAUUUCCUCCUCAAAGUUGCCCCUACUACUCCCCAUGGGCCACACAUCUCUAGUGGACCUGGACUCUGCAGCUUCUGGGUUGUGUCAGGCAGGCUCCUUCCCUCCUCAGGGCCUUUGCUCUAGCCAUUCCCUCUGCUUGGAUUGUUCCUGUCCCUUGUCUACAAGGAUAACUUCCUCACUCACCUUGAGGCCUUGAUCACUUCUCACCUUCUAGAUGAGGCCUACCCAGGCCACCUUAUGAUGGACUGCUAAACCCACUCUUCCUUGCCACCCUGUCGCUGAUACCCCAGAUCCUCUUUUCCUUGGCCCAAGUGUCCUUUCUAUUAUAGUAUUUUGCAUCUAACAGACUAUUUAAUUACUUAUUGAUGAUUAUUGCUGUUCUCUCUCCAGCUAUAAUGGCUCCUGCUAGAGUAUUAGCUCCUGAUGGUAGGGAUCUUUGUCUCUUGCUCACUGGUAUAUCUCAAGCAGCCCAGAUCUCAUCUCUGGUGAGCAUACAUUGGAGUCACUCAGAAAAUACCUGUGGAUGUAAUGAAUGUGUUUGUGUCCUGUGCUAGAUGGGAGACUUGUGAGAGAAAGGGCCAUGUGUUGUUGGUCUUUGUAAACCUACCAUCCACACUCUCUGAUACAACCAGAAGGGCAGUACUGAAUAGUCGUUGAAUUAAUUAAUCUUUUGAAAAUGACACUUAUAGGGAAAACAUUCUCUUUGCAUUCUGCAGCUUUUCCAGUGGUUGCCAUUUGUUUCGGCACCAUAUAGGUACCAGAUGCCAUAGGCAGAAUCUGGCACCAUAUAGGUACCAAAUGCCAUAGAAAGGCAGCCAUGGGAUACCUGAAGGCCAGAAGUCUGAUUCAUUUUCCGUGGCAUCUUCACAGGGUAGCACAGUUCCUACCACACAGCAUGACUUGUGGUGGUGUUUUCAGAUCUUGGUCAUUCAUUGCCUAAAUUGUUUUGGUUUUAUCUGGACAGGACAUAUACUAUGAUUUACAUAUUGCAUUUUAUUUUCACAAGACAGUGGCUUUCAGAAAGAAACACAAUUAUAUAAUUAAACACAAAGCAGAACGAUUUACAAAAAAGUUGAAAACAAAGUGGAAGCUAUUGUUUUGUAAUAGGAUACAUAACAAUGGAUGGGCUAUAGUAGGCACUUCAUGUACCUUUUUUAUUUAACCCUAAUGAAAACCCUUCAAUCACAAUGUUGUCAUUCCCAUUUUCAAAAGAGAGAAGAUUGAGAUCUAAGGCCUUAUGUAACUUGGCCAGUAUCUGACAGCUAGGAGGUAUCUGAAUGAGGUGGAAUCUUCCAGGCUCAUUGAUGAGAACACUCCACAAAGAUGGCCGUAUAGGCAGACCCCCACCGCUUAACUUGCCCCUGGAGUUCUCUCUGCUCCCCUCCCCGUUUCUCAUGCACACAUCUCUGCAACAUUUUCCUCCCAUCUCCUAAUACUUUCAGAAGCUCCUCGUCUUAGAGGUUGUUCUCCUGCUCCUUUGGUCAAGUGCUGGAAAAUUCAACACUAAUUUCUGCAGAGGUAGAGGAAUGGAGUUUGUUUCAAGUCCUUGUGAAGGGAUAGAAUGAUUGGUACUUACAGCUGCUUCAAGGUCUUGAUGAGGCUGGAUCUGGAGGAGGGUCUUUUAUGCAAGCUAGUCCCUGCAUGAGAGGAUUCCGGUCUUGGAAGGAUGCCUUCCCCUCCACAAAGACAUCUGGCCAGCCCACAAGGAAGAUAGUUUACUUAUCAAUGACACUGUGUACCCACAGGCUCAGGCCAGUUUCGUCAGAAGCAGAACAGGCUUUCCAAGGUCACCAAGCUGUUCUAAACUUCACCGAUUCAUUAGAGAAAGGCAACAAGACAGAGGCAUGUUUGGUAUCAAAAUUGUGAUCAGGAAGAUGGCUGCAUUCCCUGUUCCAUGGUAAAACAUCUCAUACCACCAAUGAACUCAGCCAGUUCUAGAGAGAUUUCCACCAUGAUAGAACGUUUCUGACUGUGGGCUCAGGGCCAGCCAUUCUCUGGGAGUGCAAGAUGGAAAAAUAUGAGGCUUCCCUUUCCUCUUUUCAAUCUUUUUCCAGGUUAUUUAUUUCGCGGCAAGUUUGAAAAUCAGUAGUUCUGUUAGGAGUUUUCCUACACUACAAUAGUAUAUCCUAUGAGUGAAUAGCCAUCACAAUCUUAGAUUCUUUCCCUUUAGCUUUGAUCAAAUAGCUUUUACUACCAAGCUACAUCGCAGAAGGAAGCAUCCUUGAUUUUUGUGUCAGAUGAACUUCUCAUUGUGUAGAAUUCACAAAAUUCUAAUAAAGAAAUUAUAUUGUGGGAAAAUGGUAUUGCUUUACUGCAAUAUCAGAAUAUAUAAUAAUUGCUUUUUCAGGGCCCACUAUGUAUCAGGUGUUUUAUAUAUCUUACUGAUAGUUUUCUUAAAAUCCCUGUGACGUACGAAUCUUUCUUCCAGUUUCACAGAUGAGGAAAUUUAGGCUCAGAAGGAUAGAUUACUUGUCCCUGUUCACACAGCUCGGAGGUGCAGAGCUGGGAUUUAAGAGGCAUGCAUCACAAUCCAUUGCCUACAUUGGUCAGCGGUAUUCCUACAUUUUACAUAGUCUUGGAAAGAAAUCCCUGUGUCUCUGAAAGUCACUAAUGUAAAUUUUAAAAUUCCAUACUGCUGUUAUGUCAUCCUUCUAUUUUAGAGUUUGACUUAUGACAAACGGUAUUUUUCCUUUCCUGUGAAAUAUUUAGUUUAGUUUACAACAAUAUAUUUAGGGUUGGCAGCUUUGAAAAUGUGUAUAUAUGAAUAAGUUAAAUAAUGUUGAUUUACCCCUUUUUGUGUGCUGAAAACUGCUAUGUACUGUGUAGAGGCCCAUGAACUAAUGAAUUUGCUUUCUCUCCCUGUGACACCUACCAGCUUCUAGAAUACUUUGCAUGGCUCCUGAUACACAAAAGCCACACAUAGCGUACCUAUGUGGAAAGUAACCAGUGUACAGCCUCCAGUUUGGAAGUGGGUGUUUUUGCUAUCAGUGUUUCAGUAUGAAAUGUAUUCGUUCAGCAAACCCUCUGCAAUGCCUGUGUGUCUCAUGCAGUGUACCUGACUGAUAGAGCAUAUGUAAAGACCAAGUAAAAACUGGCCCUUAUUCAUAACCAUCUCCUAGGAAAACAAAGCAAUAAAAGAAUGUAAAUUCUCAA